rnacentral:rRNA from 1 species
GACGAACGCUGGCGGCGUGCUUAACACAUGCAAGUCGUACGGUAAGGCCCUUUCGGGGGUACACGAGUGGCGAACGGGUGAGUAACACGUGAGUAACCUGCCCACAACUUUGGGAUAACGCUAGGAAACUGGUGCUAAUACUGGAUAUGUGCUCCUGCUGCAUGGUGGGGGUUGGAAAGCUCCGGCGGUUGUGGAUGGACUCGCGGCCUAUCAGCUUGUUGGUGGGGUAGUGGCCUACCAAGGCGGCGACGGGUAGCCGGCCUGAGAGGGUGACCGGCCAAAUUGGGACUGAGGUAAGGCCCAGACCCCUGCGGGAGGCAGCAGGGGGGAAUAUUGCAAAAGGGGCGAAAGCCUGAUGCAGCAACGCCGGGUGCGGGAUGACGGCCUUCGGGUUGUAAACCGCUUUCAGCAGGGACGAAGCUUUUUGGGACGGUACCGGCAGAAGAAGCACCGGCUAACUACGU